CCAGUGCACCGGGCACUGCGGGCUUUCGCCCAAAGCCUGCUGGGUUCGGCACGACUCAGAAUGCGCAGCGGCCAGUUUUCAGCGGUGGCCCCGGUGCGCCAGUUUACCAACUGCCGCAUCCUGCGCGGCGGCACGCUGCUCAGGGAGGAUCUGUGGGUGCGCGGGGGCCGCAUCCUGGACCCAGAGAAGCUGUUUUUUGAGGAGAGGCGCAUGGCUGAUGAGCAGCGGGACUGCGGAGGCCACAUCCUGGCUCCCGGCUUUAUCGAUGUGCAGAUGAACGGUGGAUUUGGUGUUGACUUCUCCAGGGCCUCGGAGGACGUGGGUUCUGGGAUCGCCCUAGUGGCCCAGAGGAUCCUGUCCCACGGUGUCACCUCCUUCUGUCCCACCCUGGUCACUUCCCCACCAGAGAUUUAUCACAAGGUGCUUCCUCAGAUCCCUGUGAAGAGUGGAGGUCCCCAUGGGGCAGGGGUCCUCGGGGUGCAUUUGGAGGGCCCAUUCAUCAGCCGGGAGAAGCGGGGUGCACACCCUGAGGCCUUCCUCCGCUCCUUUGAAGCCGAUGCUUUUCGUGAUGUGCUGGCCACAUAUGGGUCCCUGGACAACGUCCGCAUUGUGACACUUGCCCCUGAAUUAGACCGGAGCCUUGAAGUGAUCCAGGCAUUGACAGCCCAAGGCAUCUGCGUGUCUUUAGGGCAUUCAGUGGCUGACCUGAGGGCUGCAGAAGUAGCAGUGCAGAAUGGGGCCACUUUCAUCACCCACCUCUUCAAUGCCAUGUUGCCUUUCCACCACCGUGACCCAGGCAUAGUAGGGCUUCUCACCAGUGACCAGCUGCCCCCAGGCCACUGCAUCUUCUAUGGGAUGAUUGCUGAUGGCAUACACACUAACCCUGCAGCUCUGCGUAUUGCUCACCGGGCUCACCCCCAGGGGCUUGUGCUGGUCACUGAUGCUGUCCCUGCCCUGGGCUUGGGCAAUGGCCGCCAUACACUGGGACAGCAGGAGGUGGAGGUAGAUGGGCUAAUAGCCUACAUUGCAGGGACCAAGACACUAUGUGGCAGCAUAGCCCCCAUGGAUGUCUGCAUCCGGCACUUCCUGCAGGCCACAGGCUGUAGUGUGGAGUCGGCUCUGGAAGCUGCAUCCCUCCACCCUGCCCAGCUGCUAGGGCUGGAGAAGACCAAGGGGAGCCUGGACUUUGGUGCUGAUGCAGACUUUGUGGUGCUCGACGACUCUCUCCGUGUCCAGGCCACUUACAUCUCGGGUGAACUGGUAUGGCAGGCGGAGGAAGCUGGGCCGUGACUGAGGAUCUUGGCUGGAGAGGACACGUGGCUCCAGCCGGACACUGACAGCCCAGGCAGUCCAAUACCAUUGAAGGAACCUGUUUUCAAGGCCAACGUUUGGAAAAUAUUUAAAGGAAGAGAGAAAAAGAAAACGAGGCAAUCAAAAUAAAAUGCUCUUAGACCUUCUACUGUUUGAGAGCAAGAGCCUGGAGAGAAUAGCUGGUGCGCAGGGGCACAGCCCACUUGUCGCUUGGAUGCUGUCAACCCAAGAAAGCCAUCAUGAGGGAUCCCAGCCUCUGUGGGGAGAAAGGCAAGCAAGGGAGCCUGGAUCUGCCCCAUCGCCACACCCCUCCACAUGACAAAGGACAGGGCUAGCAUGAGUCAUAUGGGGCCAGUCCAUCAGGACUCACCAGCUGUCUGUGGAAAUCUCCCUCUGCUGGUGGGAGACCUCACUCCCAAACUCUGUGAAGUAUUGACUCAUUCCACCCAUCUACCAGAAACCCAAUGGUAGGCCUACCUGUCUAGCAUUUCAUUUCUCAGAUGAGGGAACCAGGAACUGAGUUCUGCUGCUGCACAGACCUGGGGACCAGGACUCAGCCUGGAGGCUAAAGGUGCAAUUCAGUAGUAGAGAGCUUACCUGACACGCAUAUAAGGUCCUGGGUUCCAUUUCUAGUACAGAACUGGCCCUGACCUGCCCAGAUCCAACUUCACUGGAUUUGUGCUGCUGCUCUGGGUGGACAUCUGGGGGCCUCAGAUGAGUGAGUUGUGUGGUUGGGGCUACCCAGAAAUGAUGGGGACUAGCCCUGGGAAGGUGUGGAAGUAGAGCUGUCUUAGCAGAUCUCGUGUAGAACACAGUUGGGAGAGGAGUCCCUGGCACUGAAGCUGCUGGAGGGAUUUGAAUUAUUAUUAGGAUUUUUUUGGGGGGAGGGUGUUGAGACAGGGUU